UAAAAAAAAGGCCCGCUAAAUCUUCUCUCCCGCGCAAACAAAUCCCGUAACUUCUUUCGUCUUCCCUCAAACCUCACCAGCAAAAACCCUUUCACAUUCUUCUCUGAGCAUAUUCGCAUUUCCCUAUUUUCUUCGGCAGCUGAGAAGCAUCAAACGAAUUAAGAGACCAUCAAACCUUCUCUUUGCCGAUUCUAGGUUUUCAACCCUCUCUCCCUCAUCUCUUGUCACUCCUUCGGCAGCUGGGAACCAAACUGAACUCAUCUCUGGCGAGAAUGAUAGAAGGCUUUGUUGAAGAUAUUGAAGAUACAAUCUUUUUUUGAAUUAUUAUUGUAUGUAACAAGAAUUUUGUACAUUUUCCA